GAUGAACGCUGGCGGCGUGCCUAAUACAUGCAAGUCGAGCGAAUGGAUUAAGAGCUUGCUCUUCUGAAGUUAGCGGCGGACGGGUGAGUAACACGUGGGUAACCUGCCCAUAAGACUGGGAUAACUCCGGGAAACCGGGGCUAAUACCGGAUAACAUUUUGAACCGCAUGGUUCGAAAUUGAAAGGCGGCUUCGGCUGUCACUUAUGGAUGGACCCGCGUCGCAUUAGCUAGUUGGUGAGGUAACGGCUCACCAAGGCAACGAUGCGUAGCCGACCUGAGAGGGUGAUCGGCCACACUGGGACUGAGACACGGCCCAGACUCCUACGGGAGGCAGCAGUAGGGAAUCUUCCGCAAUGGACGAAAGUCUGACGGAGCAACGCCGCGUGAGUGAUGAAGGCUUUCGGGUCGUAAAACUCUGUUGUUAGGGAAGAACAAGUGCUAGUUGAAUAAGCUGGCCCCUUGACGGUACCUAACCAGAAAGCCACGGCUAACUACGUGCCAGCCGCCGCGGUAA
rnacentral:rRNA from 1 species